GCCUGGCUGGCUCAGUCAGUAGAGCGUGCGACUGUUAAUCUCAAGGUCAUAAGUUCGAGCCUUAUGUUGGGCA